UCCCAACCACUUUGUGAGGUAAUGGGUGGGUGAUCUCCAUGCUGGGAGAGUAAACCAGGGUUCACACAUCUGAUCUACCCGCGAUCGCAAACGCAGUUAACAAGUGACAGAGAAAGGACUCAAACCCACGUCAUCUGACUCCAAGCACCGGGCUCCUCUGCUCUGUGACAGGAACCUUCCUGUUUAUAGGAGGCAUGAUCCAUGGUUGCUCUAGUUGAGUGUCACCUGAACCCCAAAACUA
rnacentral:lncRNA from 10 species